rnacentral:rRNA from 1 species
CCCGCUGAACUUAAGCAUAUCAAUAAGCGGAGGAAAAGAAACUAACAAGGAUUCCCCUAGUAACUGCGAGUGAAGCGGGAAAAGCUCAAAUUUAAAAUCUGGCGGUUUCACCGUCCGAGUUGUAAUUUAGAGAAGUGUUAUCCGCGCUGGACCGUGUACAAGUCUCCUGGAAUGGAGCGUCAUAGAGGGUGAGAAUCCCGUCUUUGACACGGACUACCAGGGCAUUGUGAUACGCUCUCAGAGAGUCGAGUUGUUUGGGAUUGCAGCUCAAAAUGGGUGGUAAAUUCCAUCUAAAGCUAAAUAUUGGGGAGAGACCGAUAGCGAACAGGUACCGUGAGGGAAAGAUGAAAAGAACUUUGGAAAGAGAGUUAAACAGUACGUGAAAUUGCUGAAAGGGAAACGCUUGAAGUCAGUCGCGUCGUUCAGGAUUCAGCUUUAGCAUCUGCUUUGUGCAUUUCCUGUUUGACGGGUCAGCAUCAGUUUUGGCCGGUGGAUAAAGGUUCAGAGAAUGUGGCAUCCUCGGAUGUGUUAUAGCUCUGGGUCGCAUACAUCGGCUGGGACUGAGGAACUCAGCACGCCGCAAGGCCAGGUUUCGACCAUGUUCGUGCUUAGGAUGCUGGCAUAAUGGCUUUAAUCGACCCGUCUUGAAACACGG